GACGAACGCUGGCGGCGUGCUUAACACAUGCAAGUCGAACGGACAGGCCCUGCUUUUGUGGGUUGCUCGAUUGGCGAACGGGUGAGUAACACGUGAGUAACCUGCCCUUGACUUUGUGAUAACUUCAGGAAACUCGGGCUAAUACCGGAUAUGAUCUCCUGCUGCAUGGUGGGGGUUGGAAAGUUUCGGCGGUUGGGGAUGGACUCGCGGCUUAUCAGCUUGUUUGUGGGGUAGUGGCUUACCAAGGCUUUGACGGGUAGCCGGCAUGAGAGGGGGGACGGCGACAAUGGGACUGAGAGAGGGACCAGACGGCAACGGGAGGCAGCAGUGGGGAAUAUUGCACAAUGGGCGGAAGCGUGAGGCAGCAGCGCCGCGUGCGGGAUGACCGCCUUUGGGUUGUGAACCGCUGUCGACUGUGACGAGGCGGGAGUGACGGUAACGGGUAAAGAAGCACCGGCUAACUACGUG
rnacentral:rRNA from 1 species